AGGAUGAACGCUGGCGGUGUGCCUAAUACAUGCAAGUCGUGCGGAAAGGCUCUUCGGAGUACUCGAGCGGCGGACGGCUGAGUAACGCGUGGGAACGUGCCCCAAAGUGAGGGAUGAGCACCGGAAACGGUGUCUAAUACCGCAUAUGGUCUUCGGAUUAAAGUAUUUAUACGCUUUGGGAGCGGCCUGCGUACGAUUAGAUAGUUGGUGAGGUAAAGGCUCACCAAGUCUACGAUCGUUAACUGGUCUGAGAGGAUGAUCAGUCAGACUGGAACUGAGACACGGUCCAGACCUCCGUACGGGA
rnacentral:rRNA from 1 species